AUUGAACGCUGGCGGCAGGCCUAACACAUGCAAGUCGAGCGAGCGGCGGACGGGUGAGAUAUGUGUGGGGACUGCCCGAUAGAGGGGGAUAACUACUGGAAACGGUGGCUAAUACCGCAUACUAUCGGAUCCCCCAUAUGGUAGUAGCUAGUAGGUGGGGUAAAGGCACACCUAGGCGACGAUCUCUAGCUGGUCUGAGAGGAUGAACAGCCACACUGGGACUGAGACACGGCCCAGACUCCUACGGAGGCAGCAGUGGGGAAUAUUGCACAAUGGGCGCAAGCCUGAGGCAGCCAUGCCGCGUGUAUGAAGAAGGCCUUAGGGUUGUAAAGUACUUUCAGCGGGGAGGCGUUACCCGCAGAAGAAGCACCGGCUAACUCCGUGCCAGCAGCCGCGGUAAUAC
rnacentral:rRNA from 1 species